rnacentral:tRNA from 1 species
AGAAAGAUAAGCUAAAUAAAGCUGUUAGGUUCAUACCCUGAAUAUAGAAUAUAAAAAUUCUUCUCUCUA